rnacentral:rRNA from 1 species
CCUACGGGAGGCUGCAGUAGGGAAUAUUGCUCAAUGGGGGAAACCCUGAAGCAGCAACGCCGCGUGGAGGAUGAAGGUUUUCGGAUUGUAAACUCCUUUUGUUCGGGAAGAUAAUGACGGUAUCUAACGAAUAAGCACCGGCUAACUCCGUGCCAGCAGCCGCGGUAAUACGGAGGGUGCAAGCGUUACUCGGAAUCACUGGGCGUAAAGCGCACGUAGGCGGGAUAGCAAGUCAGAUGUGAAAGCCUAUGGCUUAACCAUAGAACUGCAUUUGAAACUGUUAUUCUAGAGUAUGGGAGAGGUAGGUGGAAGUCUUGGUGUAGGGGUAAAAUCCGUAGAGAUCAAGAGGAACACUCAUUGCGAAGGCGACCUGCUAGAACAUAACUGACGCUGAUGCGCGAAAGCGUGGGGAGCAAACAGGAUUAGAUACCCUUGUAGUC